rnacentral:lncRNA from 1 species
CGUGGUCGAUCAGUUCGCACGAGCUUCAGUCUCGAUCUUCGCCCGAAAUUCCAUUGUGCUCGUGUUCAUUCCUCACACAGCAUAUGCGUGCUUAUCGUAGGGCUUUAUGCAAAUAUUUGUUUGUGUUUGGUGUUAUGGCCGAGACUUGUCAUUUUUGUUUAAACUCAAGUUAAAUGCUGAUAAACUUGUCCCCGAGUCGAU